AUUUGAUACUCUUCCAAUGCUGGCUACUGACCAUCUGAAAUGUAGCUAGUAUGACAGAGCAAUCGAGUAUUCAACUUUAUUCAAAUUAAAUUUAAAUAGACACACAUGGUUAGUGGCUACAUAUUGGACAGUGUCAUCUACAAGAUGCAUAGGGAAUAUUUUAACCUUUUUUUUUUUAAUUUUGUGUGGUGCGGAGGAUUGAAUCCAAGGUUUUGUACAUGUGAGGCAUGCACUCUUCCAACUGAGCUAUAUCCCCAACCCUUAUUUUAACCUUAAGCAUGUAUUUACUGGAACAAAUAUUAGAACUAAACAUGAAUUCGAUUUUCUUCAGAAAUAAGACUUUCAUUUUUCCCAUUUAUGAUUUUAAAAAUCUCUCUCACCACUACCACCAAAAGUUUUCCCCUGUUAUGACAGUACGUUUCAUGAACUCACUGUAAGAUCUUAAAAUUGAAAAGGGAUAAAGUGUCACAACUCACAUGUGUCCAGGGCUGCGGUCGGUGGAUUCUGUCAUAUACUCCAUGGUUCUGUACACCUUAAUUUAAAAAAUAAAUGGAGGCUGUAAAUCAUUCGCCUAACCCCCUCUUUACUUUUCCUUCUGCCUCUCUGAAUAGGCAACGGAGCUUCCUACAAAGCAGGACGGAAAGAAAACCAACUCUUCUUAGCAACUUCAGAAGCAACUUUCUAGACUUAAGUCCUACGCAUCUCUGGAGUCUCCCAUCUGCAAGACAUGCUCCGCAACCGAGCUGCCGCGGACCUCAGGCCUAGCCUGGGAGGCGCCAAUCUGGGCGGACCCACGCCGAGGUCUGCACGGUCAGCGGACACCAGGGCUCUGCCCAACUCCACAGGGCCGCAGCACUCACAGAGCGCCCCCACCUCCGAUCCGCGCUACCAAAGUCCCCAGGAGGCAUCACGGCGCCUGUGAUCACCCACCUGGACCCCAACUCCAAGCCCAGACUGGAACCCCGCCGGCGGCGAACACGCUGCACGCACGCGGCCUGAGCCGGCCUGACCCCAGCGCCUGGCCCCGCUCCCUCCUCAGGCACCCUGCUGGCGCCUGCACCCCGCGUCUCAGCCCCUGGGACCAAGUUAAGGGCUCCCGGACCAGCCUAAAUUUAUGGAAAAAUCAGCAACAAAACCAACGCUUACUGCACUGUCAGUUGCCACCACAGUCGGACCGGCAAGGGCGAAAAUCGCGCGAGAAAGGCUCGAAAUCCCGCGAGCUGAGGGACACGUGCUAAAGGAGCAAUGGGGAGGAGAAAGGGCACAAGUGGGCGGGGGGGAGGAGAAAGAGUACGGGUGGGCGGGGGAGAGGCGGGGUUGCUUGGAAAGGUCUCUCUUUCUUUUCCUUAGUCUAUAGUUCUUGCUUUUGAGUUAUCUUUCUUCCUGAAUUUCCAUGGUCAGAGUUCAUUCCAAGUCAGCUUCGCCCGUGUAUCAAUCUCUUUUCCAGUGUCUCUACUGGGAGUUUGCUUCUUGAUUUAUAUGAAUGUUAUUUGUAAGCAGUGCAACAUUACACAAGGAUGUUAAAACACCAUUAGGGCAGUGACUUUGUUUUAUUCACUAUCAUAUGCCUAAUACCUGCCACAUCCUAACCGUUCAAAUGUUUAUUUGUUGAAUGGUUGAAAGAACGGAAUGUAAGGCAUAAUUAUCUGUGAUCUCUAUUUUUAGACUAAUCAUUAGAAUGUGCUUCCUAAUAGUGUAUAAAUAUUUCCUUAUGACUUUAUCCCUUGAUCUUUAAUCAAUAUAGGUCAUGUCUAGUUGCUCUUUCUCACGACAGUACUUCAAACAUUUAAAGAGCACAACCAUUUUUUUUUUCUAAGUUUCCUCACCCCAGAUUUCAAGAAAUACGCAAGGUCCCUUUAUAGACAGUGAGCAAUGAGAGCUACAUACCAUUUCUUGUCUAGGGUAUUUAAGUUUAUUUUCCACCUGCUAUCCCUACUUGAAGACUCUGACCCACCCUUCUAAAAGGCAAUUCUAAUUUUGCCACACUCCCCUGCUUUUUUAACCCUUCAGAGGUCUCUGAUCACCUUCAGGAUUACUUCCAGUUUCUUUGCACAGAAGAAGACCCUUCAGGAUCUGAUCUCUAAAUAUCAUGCCACAUACCCAAGUACACAGCCACCUGGCAGGUCCUUGUGGGAAAUAGUCUACCUUUGCUUAUGCAUGGAACACACUGCCUUAAACAUUAAAACAGUACUAGUUUCUGUGACUGUUUCAAGAGAUUAUCACAAAUUUAGCUGGCUUAAGAAACACAUAUUUAAUAUCUCAUGGUGCUGUUUGUCACAAGUCUGAAAUGGAUUGACAAAGCUGCAUUCCUUCCAGAGGACCUAGGAAAGAACCCAUUCCCUUGCCUUUUCUGGCUUCUAGAAGCUUCCCACAUGCCCCAGCUUUGUUAUUUUGCUCUUCCAACUCUUUCUCUGACCCCCCUGUCUCCUAACCAGAUAAUCCAGAAUAAUCACCCCAUAUUAAGAUCUGUAAUUUAAUCAUAUCUGCAAAGAUCUUUUUGCCAUGUGAAGUAAUACAACCACAAAUUUCCAAAAUUAGGGCAUGACAUCUUUGGUGAACCAUUAUUCUGUUUGCCACACAUCCCCUGUUCUUGAUUCCCUCUUUCCCUAAGAACCAGAGGAGUUAUGUGCUCCUUUACAUAUGGUUCUGUUGUAACACAUUUUAUGGAAGGUGUAUGCCUACAUGCUAGUGCUUUGAAUUGUACAAUAAAUUUUCUGCUCUGCAUGUUCUGCGAUUUCAAGUUACUUUGAAAACAAUUUGUGACUUGUUCUUCUAAAUGUGCCCUGUACCUAGCAGAAUUUCAUGGCACAAAACAGACCAUUGAUAUUUGUUGGCAAAUUAAGUUAUCUGUUUGAAACUCAUAGCAACUCUGAAGCGACGGUUUUUCUCCCCAGUUUUCCUAUCCACACUGUCUGAACCUUCAACAAAACAUCACUAGAAAUACAGCUAGAUAGCUUGUGUUUCCUCCUUAUUGAAGUAAAUACAAACAUGUAUCUUGAGAAAUCAUUAUGUCUCCACAAGACAAUAUGAUAUGGUUUGGAUAUAGUUUGUCCCCUCCAAAACUCAUGUUGAAAUUUGUUUCCCAAUGUAAGAGUGUUGAGAGGUAGGAAUUUUGGAAGGAGUUUGGGUCAUGAGGGUUCUGCCCUCACAAAGGUAUUAAUGCUGCAUUCACAGGACUAGGUUAAUUCUUAAUAAAGUGAGUUCUCACUGUUCUUAGAACUUACUUAGUUACUGCCAGAACAGGUUGGGUUUUUUUUUUGUUUGUUUGUUUUUGGUGGUGCAAAUGUGGUUUUAUUUGGGACCCAAUGAAAAAGUUUUGCUUCUAGUCUCACUCAUGUUGUUGAAAUAAUUCAGUUCAUUGCAGUUGUAGGGCUUAAGAUAUCAGCUUCUUGCUGGCUUUUGGCGAGAGGCCACUAUAAGUUUCUAGAUGUUGUUCAAAAUUCUGUGGUGCAUGGGUUUCUCAGGAUAGACAGUUUUCAACAUGGUAGCUUGCUUCUUCAAAGCCAUUAGAAAGAGAGAGAAAAACUCCAGAAAAAGCAGGUACUACAAUCUGCUUGUUCAUAAUCAUGGACACAUAAUCAGAUACAUCCUGUGAUUUUUGCAAUAUUCUAUUAAUCAGAAGGAAGUCAAAGGUCACUCCAGGGAAGUGCAUGACCUAUGGGAAUGAACAUCAAGAGGCAAGGACCAUUUGGGGCCCACCUUACAGUCUGUCCACUGCAGUUGAGGAGAGUAUAAAGGAAAUACAGCAUAGCUGCCAGGGGCUGGUGAUUUUCAUUUAAUAUAGUUAUCAAAUUUCCCACUGUUCCUCACAAUUCUGCCAUUAGGAACAUUUCACUGUCCACUUCUUUCUCCGUGGCUCUUCACUCAUGCCAUUUUAGCUAGAUUUUGUGCAGUCAACUCUAUGGGCCUUCUGUCCUCCUCCUGGACUGCAGAACAGGUUGUUUUAAAAUGGUGCCACACCCUAUGUUUUGUCUCUUUUGCAGGUAUCCGCUUGCAUUUCUGCUUUUACUCCAUGUUAUGACACAGCAUGAAACCCUUAUCACAUCUAACCACUCUUCCAGCCUCUAGAACCAUGACUCACAAUAAACCAUUAUUUUUAAUAAAUUAUUUGAUCUCAGGAAUUAUGUUGUAGCAACAGAAAACAGAUUAAUCCAGGCCAUAUGAACAAGCCCAUUUUAGGAUAUGGGCUUCGGUUGAAUGAUUUGGGGAAGGUCUAAGGAAGCAGAGGUUUGCUCUAGAUUAGAUACUGUCAGGAAAUAGGGACAAUUUUCUGAUCAUGUAUCUCAAUAAAUCUUAUUUAUUGGAAGUGAGGCAGAAAGAUAAAAUUGUAAUUAGCAAAGAAGAAGCAGUCACUCAUUUUGACAAAGAAAGCAAAUGUUUGGUAUUUUGUGAGUAGCAUAGCAGACUUGUUUAUAAUCUAUGCUUAAAUGAGAUUAUGAAAUGGUUUUGCUUUGUCUCAACAUGGUUUCAGAAUAAUCUUGUAUAAAAUUUUUUAUAUCUAAUAGAAAAAUGUGGCCUAGCUAUGAUCACCAGGCCAGCUUCUAAAUGUCAAGGGCUGGUCUUCUGUUCCUAACACAUUCCUUCAAUGUUUAUUUGAUUUGGCUCUUGGUACCACAUUGCCAGGCUUGUUAAGCUGUGGGCAUACAACAGUAAACAACACAAAUUUGAUGUCUUCCUCAUUGUGCUCAUGUUUUAAGAUGAGGCUAAUAUUCCAGAAGAGUAGAUAAUUUGCUCAAAGAUCUAUAGAAAACAAAUGAGAGAACUGGCACCUGAACUGCAGUUCUCCAUACCCAUACCCUCCCCCUCCAGGCUGUCUAUUAAGGCUCAGGCCAUCUAUUCCUAUACAUGGAAUUUUGGUAAAUGAAAUAUUUAUGCAGUUCCACAAAUGUGUACAAAUAUUAUGUGUAAAUUAAAUAUUGUAAAAUAUAUAUUUUAAAAUGCCAUGCAACCGAAAACAUGUAUAUUUUUUUCUCCGUCUCCCAAUCCCUACUACUAAGAUCUCCAGAUGUCAGAAUUAAGUGCUGGAUUUUAAUUAUCUCUGCCACAGGCAUAGGAUGAACUUGCUAUGAUUGGUCUCAGAAUGGGGAUAAUGUUAGCAAAUUAUCUCCCCUUAAAACCUCACUUUGCAUUUUUUGUUUAAUUUUCAAAUCUCACCUGAAAAAAAAAAACGUGUUGCCUGUCCCAUAGCCUUUGCACUCAGGAUAUCUGACCUUAUUCAAAUCUAUGCUUUAAUAUAUUUUUACAAACUUAGAUUCUGUGUUCUUGACCUUAGUGUAAAAAUAGAAUUCCCCAAAGGACUAGAUAAUAUGUCCUCCUUGCAAGUUUUACGUUCAUUUUCCAUAUUCAUUAUCCAUUAAUUCAUCGAAGAUAUUUUAGAAAGGAUCCAUAUGAUCUCUUUCUCAACUAAUUAAGGUCAAUAUAAACCUGUAUUUUUAUAUCUUUUGUUUUAUAUUAGAGCAUAACUUCCUUAGACAUAACAUUUUGAAUGACCUUUUCUGAAAGCAGAGUUCUAUUAAUUUUAAGUAUCCUUAACACCUACCAAGUAGUAUAUAUGUGAUUAAUAUCAGUUAACCAAGUGAGAUUCUAUGCAGAACUUUUAAAUGCACAGUGUGAUUUUUUUUCACACCAUCAAAUAUUAUAGCACAUUUGAGGAUAUCAUUUUGACAUGGGAGAUUAGUGAAGGGAGGUCUAUUGUGAUAUGCCCCAAGAAUCAACAUCUGUGGAGGGGAAGUAAUAGAAGCACAAUUGGACAGAGACAGGAGUUCUGCUGCCCUGAAGUCUGAUGGAGGCCUCAGCCAACCCCAUUGAGAUCUCUCAAGCUGCUUGACCAUUAAGAGUUUUCAGGAGAAGCCUGGCCUAUGUUCAUGAAUGAGUCAUUAGAUGUGACUGCCCCAGGAAAGGGACAUGACCUUGGUGACAUUUCUCUUUUCAGCCAAGGCAAUAUCAGCAAUGGACGUGGCUUUCAGCCAGCAGCACUCCCUGAAGUAUAGAAAUAAGCCCUUCGUUUCUGCAGGAAACCUGGACUGACUUUCCAAAAUUUUAGGAUGCUUUUCAGUUGAACCAGUUAAUCUCCCAACCAAAUAAAGAGCAUGCCACACCCAUCAUCAUUGAAUCCAUUCAAGAACUGACAAGGUCACCUGCAAUUAUAUAAAAGCAAUACUGCCAACUAUCUGAAGGCUGAGAAUUUAAAACAAUCUUUCAAAGUAGCAUGAAAUUUUAUAUUAACCUAGGCUAAGUUUUGAAAAAUUGGGUAACUUUUGAGUGGCCUUAAGAUGUUCAAUAUAAAUAUCAAAGAUAGCUUAAGAGUAUCAAAUCACUAUUUAGUAAACAAUUAUUAUGCAAAAAAAUCUAAAAGUUUCCUUUUAUGUUAUAAAUACUACACAUUUUUAAUGUGAAAGGCAGAAAAAAAAUUAUAAAAAUAUUAAAUAAUCCACGAAAUAUGUGGAAUAGAAGGAUAUGAAUUUAUGACCAAAAAGAUUCACCAUAUUAUCAACAAAUAGAUGAAAAUACCAGUGAUUGCUAUUGUGGAGAUUUCAGAAACUGAUGAAAGAAGGAAGAACCUAGAAGUUCUGAGGAAGUUACUGAAGAAUAGAAGUCAAGGUAAAGGAAGACAGAAACAAUUUCCAGGAAAUAGGAGAGAAAAUAAGCAAGAUCCAAAGGUGACAGCUAUAUACUACACUCAGGGGACUCCAGUCCAGUUGGAACAAUUAGAUGGCCCUAAGAGAGACCUCACAAAGGAAAUAAAAAUUUAUACCACCUGUAAUGUUUCUGAAUAUAUUGAAAGGGAGAUUUAGACAAUUGACAAAGAAUUUCAUACUUCAUCAGCGAAUUCCAUAAACAAAUCUGCACAUAUAAAUUUGACAACUUAGAUGAAACAGACCAAUUCUUCAAAACCUACAAAUUCAUUUAAUAUUAAAUAGCUUUAAUAGCUCCAUAACUGUUAAGAAUAUUAAAUUUAUAACUUAAAAAUUCUGCUCAUUCCCCACCUCCAAAACCCUCCAGGUCCUGAUCAUUUCACUGAGAACUUAACCAGAUAUUUAAAUAGAGUUAGUAUUAUUUCUAUAUGAUUUCUUCCAGAAAAUAGAAGGGAAAAAGAGCAUUUUUCAAUUCACUCAAGGAAGCUACUAUGAUCCUAAUACUAAAACCAGACAAAGUCAGUAUUAAAAAAAAAAAGAGGGGGCUGGGGUUGUGGCUCAGCAGUGGAGCACUCGCCUUGCAAGUGUGAGACCCUGGGUUUGAUCCUCAGCACCACAUAAAAAUAAAUAAACUAAAAGUAUUGUGUCCAACUCCAACUAAAAGAUAAAAAUAUUUUUAAAAAGACUAUAAGUCAAUAUCUCUCAUAAAUUAGAUGUAAAAAUCCUUAACAAGUGCAGUGGUAAAGUGCAUGCUUAGCAUGCAGGAGGCGAUAAGUUUGUUAUUAGUUGGCAGAGUUCAGCAACAUCACAAAGAAUUACAAACCAUGACCAACUGGGAUUUAUUCCAGAUAUGCAAGGCUGGAUCAGUAUUACAGAAUCAAUGUAUUAACUCCAUUAACAAACUAUUUUAACAGCCUAGAGUUUCAUGUAAUCAUACCAAUUGAUGCAGAAGAAACAUGACAAAAUUUAAAACUCAUUUAUAACAAAAAUUCUCAGAAAAAUAGAAACUUUCCCAAAUUUAUAAAGGAUAUCUACAAAAAAACUAUAGCUAUCAUUAUACCUCAUGAUAAAAGAAUGAAUACUUUCCCUGUAAGAAUGGGAAUAAGGCAAAAAUGUUUGGUCUCCCCACUCUUAUCCAACAUAGUACUAGAAGUUCUAACCAGUAUAAGGCAAGGAGAAGAAAUAAAAAGCAUCUAUAUAAGAAAGGAAGAAACAAAACUGCCCUUAAAUAAUGCAGAUAACAUUAUUGUUUACAUGGAAAAUCCCAAGCAAUCUACACACAUACACAGAAAAAAGAAAAAAGAAAGAAAACAGAAAAUAAAACUAAAAAGUGAGCUCAAUGAGUAUACAAGAUACAAGAAAAACAUACAGAAAUCAAUUAUAUACACUGUUAUAUACACUAGUAAUAAACAUGUAGACAGUGGAAUUUAAAAUACAAUUUACAAUUGCUCAAGAAAAGAUACACUCAGAUAAAUCUAGCAAAACAUGCAUAGGAUUUCUAUACUAAAAAUUACAAAAUGCUGUUGAAAGAAAUUAAAGGAGACAUAAGCAAAUGGGGAGACAUGCCCUGUUCAUGGAUUGAAUGGCACAACAGUAAGCAUGUCAAUUCUUCUAAAGUUGAAAGAGAUUUAAUACAAUUCCUAUCAACAUUCCUGAAAUAUUUUCUUUUGUAAGUACAGACAAGAUUAUUCUAAAAUUAGUAUAAUUUUAGUAUAAACUAAAUUAGUAUAAUUAGUAUAAACAAAGGAACCAGAAUAGCUAAAAUAAUUUUGGAGAAACAAAAAAUAAAGUAGGAAAAAAAUCGGUCCACUGGAUUUUAAGACUUAUUAUGGAGCAAAAGUAAUCAAGAUUGUGUUAUUGGUUCAAGAUUAAGCAUACAUACUUCAGAUUAGACAGAAGAGAGUGAAGGAAGGGGAGGGGAUAUGGGGGUAGAAAUGUUAGUAGAAUGAAUUGGACAUUAUUACCCUAUGUGCAUAUAUGAUUACAUGACCUGUGUAACUCUAUAUGUACAACUAGAAGAAUGAGAAGUUAUACUCCAUUUAUAUAUGAUGUGUUAAAAUGUGUUCUUCUGCCAUGUGUAACUAGUUAGAACAAUAAAAAAAAAAAGAUUAAGCAUGAAGAUUAAUGGGAGAUAAUAAAGAAAUUAGAAAUAGACCCUGUAUAAAUAUGUCCAAAUGUCUUUUUUCUCCAUUUUUUUAAACAGAAAUGUGAAAGCAAUUCAAUGGAGGAAAGAUAGUCCUUUCUAUAGCUGGUACUGAAAUAAAUGGAUAUUCAUAGACAAAAUGAGAAUUGUCUCACACCUCACAGAAGAAUAAGCUCCAAUGUAUUCUAGAAUAAGGUAAAAUGGAAAACUAAAAUUUUUCAAAUAAAACAGGA
rnacentral:lncRNA from 1 species